GAUGAACGCUGGCGGCGUGCCUAAUACAUGCAAGUCGAGCGAACAGAUAAGGAGCUUGCUCCUUUGACGUUAGCGGCGGACGGGUGAGUAACACGUGGGUAACCUACCUGUAAGACUGGAAUAACUCCGGGAAACCGGGGCUAAUGCCGGAUAACAUGUUGAACCGCAUGGUUCUACAGUGAAAGGCGGCUUUGCUGUCACUUAUAGAUGGACCCGCGCCGUAUUAGCUAGUUGGUGAGGUAACGGCUCACCAAGGCAACGAUACGUAGCCGACCUGAGAGGGUGAUCGGCCACACUGGAACUGAGACACGGUCCAGACUCCUACGGGAGGCAGCAGUAGGGAAUCUUCCGCAAUGGGCGAAAGCCUGACGGAGCAACGCCGCGUGAGUGAUGAAGGUCUUCGGAUCGUAAAACUCUGUUAUUAGGGAAGAACAAAUGCGUAAGUAACUGUGCGCGUCUUGACGGUACCUAAUCAGAAAGCCACGGCUAACUACGUG
rnacentral:rRNA from 1 species